GCAAAAAAUAUCUAUUAAUGAUCUUGUUCCACUUACGAAUAUUUCCUACUUUUAUGAUAAAAAGAUAUAUAAUCUCCCACGUAAGAAACUAUUGUAAUUUUAUUGCCUGACAAGAAAGUCGAACGAUUGUUUCGCGAUUGUUUUAAAAUUUAUUGGCAUACACACCUCUCGUUAACGAAUACUAAUAAACUUUCCGUUUCUCAAUAAUCAACCCAUAAAUUAGAAAUGAAAAUUAUAGCAGAACCAUGACGAAGUAAAAAACAAGUGGGUCGGCUCUAUCUAACACUGAUAAUUGCAUUGUCGCAUUAAUACCUACGUAUCUAACAUAAUGCAGUUUCGAGUCUGAAGACAAACGAUCCAAUCUGUUAAGAGUGUGCCACCCCUUGAUGUGUACGCUUUCAAACCGCAGUUAUAAUAUAUUCCCCGAGGUCAAAAUUUAUUAUCCACUAAAAUACCUGUAUUGCUGCAAGAAAGCGGCUGUUGACUAGAAAAAGCCACUGUUAUUAAUUCGCAUUAACUUAAUAGCUAUAAGAGAGAAAAGGAGAGGGCGAAGGAAGAGGGGCGGGAGGAAAGAGGGGUGUAGACAGAAAGAGAGAGAGUGCGAGGCCGUAGGGGGGAAUAAGGUCACGCCAGAAAGUGAGUAAUGAAGGCGGUUUAUCUCCGAGGAGUAACUAGCGGUGUUCGUGUAAUGGGGGCAUUCAUCAACGCGAUCUCACAUCGCCUUUCCGUUCGCGUUUCAGAGUCUCAUGACGAUUUGCACUACGAACGGACGGUGAGAAACGGAGCUGAAACGAUUUCUUUCUGCGCGCGUCUUGGAAAACCCGUUGCCACUUUGCCACAGCGCACAUUGUUGUAUAUGAUACAACGCGGCACUACCACUAUGUGACAUCAGGAGGAUAACGGCAACAAUAACAAUAACAACAACAGCGAAGCAUCAACGACGAACACGAUAUACACGCGCUGAACACGCAACAAGCACAGCGGGCAGCCAUAUUAUUACCGUCUUUUCGCAGUCCGCGCCUCUGUUGUAGACAUAAUGGUAACCCGCACCACGGACUCGCUGCUCACCUGCCCAGUAAAGAGAGGAGAAGAAGGAAGAAACGUGCACGUCAGGGGUAAGGAGGGAACCUCGCUAGUGGGGAGACGGCCACUUUGCCUCUUGUUACCUGUACGCUCCUGCGUUUAUUUUUCUGCUUCCUUUGCACUCUCAUUUCCUUGCUUUCCGAGCUGACGAUCAAUCUACAUAACGCUCGACCUUUUUUCAAUUUGAAUUAUUGCUCUCGAAUAUAUUCUACGAAUUGGAAAUACGUCAUCUCCGUUCGUUUAUUUUAUAUAAGAUAAGAUUGAAGUCCUACCGUUAACGGAAGAAGACCUUCUGCUUUCGCCACUGAUACACUGUAUUAUAUGUGUACAUCUAUAUUAUUCCACAUAUAUAAAUCUUUUAUAAAAUUCCAGAAAAAUUCAACAAGGAGUAACUUGCAAAUAAUAUGUUUGUUACUUCAUAAUAGAAGUUGGUAAAAAAUUAGAAUAAACACAUCGUUUUCUUCUUCUAUGUAAUUAGUUAAAGUUAAAAAAUGUUAAUAAUGCAAACAAAUCAUUGUAAACUAAUUACAAUAUUUUAUUCACGCCAAAAUGAUAAUAGAUAACUUGUGUACUAUAAAAUUAUACUAACUCGUGUAUCUUCUAGUUUAUCCAACUAAAUUAUGACUUUAAGUAUAUAUCAUAUGUUCGUGUUUAACACUUUAAUUAAUAUAAGAUGAACUAUUUUUUAGUUUCUUUUUUUUUUUUUUAAUGAACGUGAUGAGUAUUAAAUUUGCUUUAUCUACAUAAGGAUCGGAAGGAUAUUUAUCAUACUAAAAUACAUAGCUACAUAAAGUAGAAAAUAACUGAGUAAAUUACGAUAUCUAAUAGUAAUCUCGCAUAAUACCUAAAAGAAAGUAUAAAUCUAUUUUUAACGAAAACCAAAACACGAGUGGAAGAAAAGAUGGUAUCGUUUCGUAUGGCCUGCAUGUUUAUCUCUAUAAUAUGCGAGUUUUUUGUACUUCCGUUUCCUUGUAAUUCUAACAAGCGUGAUCACGGACUGAUUAAAUCGUGUGACGCUCUGCCCACGUACGUAAUUAUAUAACUUUUUAGUGAACAUUGAUUAAUUAUUCUCACUCGCGUCAUUAAGGGAACUUCCGUCAGAGUCACUAAAAAAGUUUGCGCAAACAUUCUACUCCGUUAAAUUUGUGGAAUUAUGAAAUCUUCUUUUUUAAUGACAUUAACAGAUAUUACGAAUAAUCUCAGAAAUUUUUCGUAAUAUUAAUUUGCAAUGGUAUGAGAUUACUCACAACUUAUCUAUAUAAUUCAAAAAGAAAGGAAUAUUAUUUGUAACUUACAAACGGCUUGCUUAUAAUACAGAUUAUAUCAUUCGUAAGUACAGAAAAUUGCAAGAAUUAUACAAAAUAUAGCAAUCCGAAUCCAUUUUUCAAAUAUUUAAAUACUUUUAACUGCAUUUAACUUUUAACUGUGCAAUACAUAUUACGUUUUCAUCGAUAUCCCGAACACCUCUUGCUUAAGAGUUUAUUCAGCGCCAUACACGUGAAUGAUAUUCCUCAAAUACUGUACGACUGUAAUUUAAGUGCAAUUUUAAAAGGCAGUACAGUGCUUCAAGGUCCUGGUGAUUACGUAGAAUAAUUAUGUAGCGGUCCGUUGUUACGUUAUUACGGCCGCCGGAAUUAUACUUAAUUUGUAGUCAUAAGUAUACCCUACUUUGGUUUACUUUUGACAGUAA